rnacentral:rRNA from 1 species
CCUACGGGUGGCAGCAGUGAGGAAUAUUGGUCAAUGGGCGUAAGCCUGAACCAGCCAAGUCGCGUGAGGGAUGAAGGUUCUCUGGAUCGUAAACCUCUUUUGUAAGGGAAUAAAGUGCGGUACGUGUACCGUUUUCUAUGUACCUUAUGAAUAAGGAUCGGCUAACUCCGUGCCAGCAGCCGCGGUAAUACGGAGGAUCCGAGCGUUAUCCGGAUUUAUUGGGUUUAAAGGGUGCGUAGGCGGCUUUUUAAGUCAGCUGUGAAAGUUUGUGGCUCAACCAUGGAAUUGCUGUUGAAACUGGGAGGCUUGAGUACGGUAGAGGCAGGCGGAAUGCGUGGUGUAGCGGUGAAAUGCGUAGAUAUCACGAAGAACACCGAUUGCGAAGGCAGCCUGCUGGGCUAUGACUGACGCUGAUGCACGAAAGCGUGGGGAGCAAACAGGAUUAGAUACCCUGGUAGUC